rnacentral:snRNA from 1 species
AAAAAAAUCUGGCAGGGGAGAUACCUUGAUCAUGAAGGUGGUUUUCCCAGGGCAAGGCUUAUCCAUUACAGUCCAGAUGAGCUGACCCCUGCAAUUUCUCCAAAUGCAGGAAACUCGACUGUAUAAUUUGUGGUUAGUGGGGGACUAUGUUCGCACUCUCCCCUG